GCGUAACGCGUAUGCAACCUACCUUUAACUGGGGGAUAGCCCCGAGAAAUCGGGAUUAAUACCGCAUAGCACUGCACUGUGGCAUCACAGAGCAAUUAAAACUCCGGUGGUUAAAGAUGGGCAUGCGUGACAUUAGUUUGUUGGUGAGGUAACGGCUCACCAAGACUACGAUGUCUAGGGGUUCUGAGAGGAUGAUCCCCCACACUGGUACUGAGACACGGACCAG
rnacentral:rRNA from 1 species